rnacentral:lncRNA from 1 species
GGUUGUCAUAGAACAAUAAAAAUAGUUAGGAAAAAAAUGAGAGAAUCUUACUUUAAAUGUCGUUUUUAUAGGUUUUUCCCGUCCAACCUUGCCAUAUGUUAGCUGCUAAAUACCAGGUUAAAUCCGUGCUUUCCUGGAAAAGCUUCUAAUCUGCUUCGUGAUCUUCUGAAAGGUCAUACUGAAACCCUAAACCCCUUGGGCCUCCAACAUUGUCCUUCAGUAUCCAGCCCGUACAGGUAGACCGGUCUUUGAGAGCACAGCCAAAGAGAAAACAGGAAAAGGGGCACAACUGCCCUUCCCAAAUCAGGCAAACAGAUCUUGUGUAGCUCUUUUUUCCUCUUUUCUUCAUCAUUUGCAUAAUUGCAGUACUCUUCUGAAUCACUUUGCCAGUGAAGACUUGGCUGCUAGCCCUGUAAAUUGCUUUCACAUAAAUCUGGAAGUCAAGAAGUAAGGCAUGUUGUGCCAAUUAGCCUAAAAUCCAACCUAAUUCACCAUUGGACCAGAAGAGGACUUUCUGAAGACACAUAAAAUCAGUGCCUUGUACUUUAGUAUCCCGUCCCUAAAGAAAAGUUUGGUUUACUGUCUUCUUUCCAGCUGAGAUAGAAAUGAAGGCUUAACAUUCUCAUUCAAGGUCACUGGCUGUGUUGUCCUCUUGCGGUAGUUGCAAAAUACACUGGGGUGAGGGCAGGUGGUGAAAGAUGAGGAGAACAAAGCUUCAUUACUGUUACCCAUCAGCCCCUGCCCACCAACUGGAGGUCAGGAGAGUACAGAGAGGCAAAAGUCACCUCCACCAGGAAAAGGUUGGAGGUGGUGGAGAGAGGUUCAGCAUGACAGAGUGUGCGCAUGUAUUGGCUGAGGAACACGCACUUUGUUGUAUGUUAGUGAUUGCUCAAUUUGUUUACACGGUAACUCAUUUCUGCUACUGCUCUUUGUUCUUCAGAGAAGAUAGACAACCCAGCAGAGCAGAUCUUUGUUCCUUAUGAGCUCAUCUGCUCCUGCAGCUUGUGCCACACCUGUAAUUAUAAUUAUGGCCCACUGCUUGGGUUGCUGUAAUCCUUUCUAGUGAAACCAAUUGUGAUUUCACCAACAGAGUUACUUAGCAAAGUGAGAAUGCCUGAAUUGAUAGAAUAAGCAUCAUUAGUCCCUUUUAUUGGUUAAUUUGGCUGCACUUAGCCUUCUAUUAAGAUUCAGAUGAUUAACAUUUUUCGGUAAUAUGGAAGCAUCCGUGCACUUUCGAUGGAACUGUGAAGUUAAUAGACUGUAACUGGGCCACUCUGGACAAGCGUAAUAAGCUGAUACCAAGAGAUAAAAGAAGUGGUGCAGCUGCACCUCAGCUAUUACGUUAAUGAAGGAGAGAGAAUCCAUGUGGAAUCGCUGGAAGGAAACUGCUAAGAGAUGGUGUGGGUAAAUCAUCACAUGCUGACUAUUUUGGCCACAUCUUUCUUAUGAGGGACUGUGGCUCUUUAUCUCUCGGCUUGAUCAUAGAACAAAAUGUGAAGACAACAGUGAAUUUCCUGGUUCCCACCCCCUCAUCUCUGUUUUUCUAUAGUAAAGCUCACUGUCCAGCUCACCAAUACUUUCUACCUGGAAUGACUUCAAAGGAAAAUCUGCUAUGAUUUUCCUAUAUCCUGUCAUAAACUGUAGUUCGUGGUAAGGUGAACGUUUUGCCCACACAACUGGAGUUCGCGGAAGCAUUUUUCCGCUUCUUAUUACCAAACAAGAUGGAGUCAUACCCCGCAGAAAAGCCUUCUGCUGGGAGAAGCUUGCCUUUCAGUCCUGGCUGGUUUCUAACCUUUUAACAAGCUUUCCUGAAGAUGGCGCCACAUGCUCAGCUAUAUUACAACCUGCAUCCUCUCGUGAUCUCUUCUGAAAUCACCAAGUCCCCAAUAGCUACAGAGACUUACAGAAAGACCUGUAGGAAAUGCUACCUUGAAAUGACAUUCUUGUAUUAAAGUGUAAAGAUUAAUCUAAAUCACCCAAGGAAUAAUCUGAUCAGAUCAUCUCGAAAUUUUCAGUUAGGAGAGGGGAUUACACAAAAAAAAUACAGUAAAUGCUAUUUGAGUUAGAUCAAUGGCAGGUUCUGAAAGCCAAAGUCCGUCUCUGACCUUGCUUCUCCUUUGUUCCCUUUUUUCAGUCAAUGACACCAGCUAUUAAGUUGCCAGAGCCAGAAGCUUGAAUGACAUCUUUGAUCCUUCUCUCUACUUUAACUUCCCCACCGGCAGCCCCACAUCCAGUCAGUCACCCAGUCCUAUCUAUUCUAGUCUGUAAAUGUCUUUCAAGUGUGUCCACAUCUCUCCAUUCCCUCUGCUACUAGUGAGGUCCAAAAGUACACCACGUGCCCCCUGCACCACUGCAGGAGUGUGUCAGCCGUUUCCCCUUUAUUACAGCUCAUUCCUCUUAAUCUGCUCUCCACUCUACCUCUACAGUGAUCUUUUGAAAGACAGACCCAAUCAUGUAAUCGCCCUGUUUACAAUCUUCUGUGGCUCCCUAGUGCUCUCAUGUUAAGUCUGAAGUCUUACACAGCCUACAAUGCUUUUUAUAAUCUAGCUGCCUCUUCUUCAGAUUCAUUUUGCAACACCAUCCCACUUGUUCUUUUGCCAUUGUCAUAAUAGAUUCCUCUUCAAUUCCUGGUCUGUUCACCUCAGGGCUAUUUAUUCUUACUCCUGCUUGUGCCCCCAGCAACAGCUGCAACUCAUCCCCCCCAUACCCCAAGCCAUCACAACUUCCAUCCAUCUAACUCAUACUCCUCCAGUAGGUCUCAGCAUAAACAACCAAUUCCUCAUGGAAGAGACCCCUAGAGUACAUUAGGACCUGGAACUCUAUGAUUCCAUAACACCCUGUACUUUCCUAUUUUUUUUGUUGUUGUUGAGGAAGAUUGGCCCUGAGCUGGUAUCUGUUGCCCAUCUUCCUCUAUUUUAUAUGUGGGAUGCUGCCACAGUGUGGCUUGAUGAGAAGUGCUAGAUGCGUGUCUGGGAUCCAAACCCGUGAAGCUUGGGCUGCCGAAUGGAGUGCAGGAACUUAACCACUUGGCCACUGGGCCAGCCCCUCUACUUUCCUACUUUUAAUAGCCAUCUCACUUUAUCAUAAUUAUUCAUGUGUUUUUCCCCUGCUCAAUUGUAAGGUCUGUGAAACCAGGGACAGUGUCUGUCCUUAGGCAGUAUUCUUACAAUGACCUAUAAGGCCUUCCAUCACCUGCCUCCCUCACCUUACAUUUCUGCCCUUACCACCUGUGGUCCUCCCUCAUUUCUCUGCUUCAUCCUCCCUGCUUGUUCCUCUAACUUGCUUUCUCUAGCUUGGCCUCUUUGCUGCUCCUUUAACUUUCUAGGCAUGGUCCUGCCUCAAGGCCUUCACACUUGCUAUAUUCCUUCCACCUAGAAUGCACUUCCUUCUGGUUUCUGUGGGGCUCUCUCCCUCGCUUGCUGCAGAUUUUUAUUCAAAGGCCACAUUCUCAGUGGAGUCUUCUCUGACCAUCCAAUCUGUCACUCUAGCUGUGCCGCCCCCCCCCCCCCCCCCAUAUUACUAUCCCUCUGUCUGCUGUAUUUUUCCCCUUAGCUCUUGUCACUGUCUAAUAUACUUUCAUGGUUUGCUAUCCAGCUCCCUCCCCUAGCAUGUAAGCCCCACUAGGGCAGGACUUUUGUCUCUUUGGUUCAUUGCUGGGAUUCAUCCUGGGACUGUGCCUGGCACAAAGUCGUCACUGGAACUGUUCAUCCUAGUCCCACCCUGGUGACUUCAUAAAUAAAGCCUUUUCAUCUUUUUUGGUACUAAAUCGUUCUAAUUUAUGGGCAGGGAGAACAUUGUCUUCACCUGGAAGGUCUUCCCUCUUCCUGAUUGCUUUAGCUUCCUCUUUCUAGAACUAGU